AUUAUACUCCCUCCGUUGCACAAUACAUGCCUUCUAUUUGUCAAAAUAUAUAUGUAUCUAGACAUGUCUUAGUAUAUAGGUACAUCCAUUUUUGGACAAAUGGAAGUCAAGUAUUUUGGAAUGGAGGGAGUACACA
rfam:Triticum aestivum genome assembly, contig: Triticum_aestivum_CS42_TGACv1_scaffold_306443_4AS